rnacentral:rRNA from 1 species
AUGUUGGUCGCCGGCGGCUGGUUCACCGGGGUGCUGUCGUCGUUGACGAGGUUCCUCUUCAUGUGGUCCAUGGCGCACCAGUGCGUUCCAGAUUUUAUCAGGAACUACGUCCACAGCCUCGCUAGCCGCAUCGUGGACGCCAUAUCCCCCUACGACACCGUCACCAUGGACGAGCGCCACCCCGACUACUUCGGCCGCAACCAGGCCUACGCCACCACCGAGGCCUACCUCACCGCCACCUGCCGGUCCGGCGCCCGCUGCCUCCGCGCCACCCUCGGCUUCGACAACGACCGCAUGAGCCUCGCCCUGGACGACCACGAGGAUGUCGUUGACCACUUUCGCGGCGCCAACAUGCGCCGCCGCAUGUACCGCCUCACCUUCCACCGCCGCCACCGGCGGCUUGUCGAGGACGCCUACCUGCCGCACGUCCUCGCCGAGGGCCGUGACGCCAUCGCCAGGGCCCGCCAGCGCAGCCUCCACACCAACAAGCCCAAGGACGACUGGGAGGGAGACUACGACGCCUGGAGCAGCGUCAAGUUCGAGCACCCCUCCACCUUCUCCACCCUCGCCAUGGACCCCACCAGGAAGCAGGAGAUCCUUGACGAUCUCCAGAUGUUCCGUGACAGCAGGGACUACUACGCCUCCAUUGGCAAGACGUGGAAGCGGGGUUACCUGCUGUUUGGGCCUCCUGGCAGUCUGGCACCGGCAAGUCCACCAUGA